CUAUGUGCAAGAAGCUGAUGUUUCUUUCAUCCAUGUUCGUCGUUGGAAUAAUGUUUUGGCUCACUCAUUGGCGUCCAAGGCGUUGAAAGAGAAGAGAGGGAACCUACUUUGAGGAAUAAGACUCAAGAGGAAGGGAAAAGAUCUCAACGUGUGCCAAAGGGAAAUCAUCUAUUCUUGGAACCGGCUUUGUUGAGGUCAUGAAAGUCGACGCACACGAGGACUCUGCCCCCCUUUUUCGAGAAAGAGAGAUAGGAAAGAGAAACUUCUGAUCGAAGAACUAAGCUUCAACAGAAGAAAAACUAAGCAGACUUGUGAUAUUGGUCUUACCCUUCUUCCAAAACCUCGAGUGACUAUCCUUCCUCUUCCUCUGUAGCAACUGACAAUACAAAUCUUCCCUUACUUUAUUCUUCUUUAGAAAAUCAAUAGAAAGGUUUUUGUUGCUUCUUCCGAUGUGAUUCUCUAGUAGUUUUGUUGUUCGUUUUCUCAAAAAAAAAUUAUCAUUCUAAUAAAGAUCCAGAAUUAUGAUU